rnacentral:rRNA from 1 species
CAUGUAGGCGGUCUGUCAAGUCUGAUGUGAAAGCCCGGGGCUCAACCCCGGAAGUGCAUUGGAAACUGGCAGACUUGAGUACGGGAGAGGAAAGUGGAAUUUCGAGUGUAGGGGUGAAAUCCGUAGAUAUUCGAAGGAACACCAGUGGCGAAGGCGGCUUUCUGGACCAAUACUGACGCUGAGAUGCGAAAGCGUGGGGAGCAAACAGGAUUAGAUACCCUGGUAGUCC